UCCUUUGAUAGUAGCAGUCAGGUCUUGUGC
rnacentral:piRNA from 1 species